GACGAACGCUGGCGGCGUGCUUAACACAUGCAAGUCGAACGGAAAGGCCUCUGCUUGCAGGGGUGCUCGAGUGGCGAACGGGUGGGUAACACGUGGGUGAUCUGCCUUGUACUCUGGGAUAAGCUUGGGAAACUGGGUCUAAUACCGGAUAGGAACUGCCUUUAGUGUGGUGGUUGGAAAGUUUUUUCGGUGCAAGAUGAGCUCGCGGCCUAUCAGCUUGUUGGUGGGGUAAUGGCCUACCAAGGCGUCGACGGGUAGCCGGCCUGAGAGGGUGUACGGCCACAUUGGGACUGAGAUACGGCCCAGACUCCUACGGGAGGCAGCAGUGGGGAAUAUUGCACAAUGGGCGGAAGCCUGAUGCAGCGACGCCGCGUGGGGGAUGACGGCCUUCGGGUUGUAAACUCCUUUCGACAGGGACGAAGCUUUUUGUGACGGUACCUGUAUAAGAAGCACCGGCUAACUACGUGCCAGCAGCCGCGGUAAUACGUAGGGUGCGAGCGUUGUCCGGAAUUACUGGGCGUAAAGAGCUCGUAGGUGGUUUGUCGCGUCGUCUGUGAAAUUCCGGGGCUUAACUCCGGGCGUGCAGGCGAUACGGGCAUAACUUGAGUGCUGUAGGGGAGACUGGAAUUCCUGGUGUAGCGGUGAAAUGCGCAGAUAUCAGGAGGAACACCGAUGGCGAAGGCAGGUCUCUGGGCAGUUACUGACGCUGAGGAGCGAAAGCAUGGGUAGCGAACAGGAUUAGAUACCCUGGUAGUCCAUGCCGUAAACGGUGGGCGCUAGGUGUAGGGGGCUUCCACGUCUUCUGUGCCGUAGCUAACGCAUUAAGCGCCCCGCCUGGGGAGUACGGCCGCAAGGCUAAAACUCAAAGGAAUUGACGGGGGCCCGCACAAGCGGCGGAGCAUGUGGAUUAAUUCGAUGCAACGCGAAGAACCUUACCUGGGCUUGACAUACACCAGAUCGCUGCAGAGAUGUAGUUUCCCUUGUGGUUGGUGUACAGGUGGUGCAUGGUUGUCGUCAGCUCGUGUCGUGAGAUGUUGGGUUAAGUCCCGCAACGAGCGCAACCCUUGUCUUAUGUUGCCAGCAUUUUAGUUGGGGACUCAUGAGAGACUGCCGGGGUUAACUCGGAGGAAGGUGGGGAUGACGUCAAAUCAUCAUGCCCCUUAUGUCCAGGGCUUCACACAUGCUACAAUGGUCGGUACAACGCACAGCGACACUGUGAGGUGGAGCGAAUCGCUGAAAGCCGGUCUUAGUUCGGAUUGGGGUCUGCAACUCGACCCCAUGAAGUCGGAGUCGCUAGUAAUCGUAGAUCAGCAAUGCUGCGGUGAAUACGUUCCCGGGCCU
rnacentral:rRNA from 1 species